rnacentral:rRNA from 1 species
GAUGAACGCUAGCGGCAGGCUUAAUACAUGCAAGUCGAACGGUAAGUGUUGUAGCAAUAUAACACCAAGAGUGACGUACGGGUGCGUAACACGUAUGCAACCUACCCUUUACAGGAGGAUAGCUCGGGGAAACUCGAAUUAACCCUCCAUAAUAUAAUUGGAUGGCAUCAUUUGAUUAUUAAAACUCAGGUGGUAAAGGAUGGGCAUGCGUCUGAUUAGUUAGUUGGCGGGGUAAUGGCCCACCAAGACGAUGAACAGUAGGGGACCUGAGAGGGUGAUCCCCCACAAUGGCACUGAGAUACGGGCCAGACGCCUACGGGAGGCAGCAGUAGGGAAUAUUGGUCAAUGGAUGCAAGUCUGAACCAGCCAUGCCGCGGGCAGGAAGAAGGCCUUCUGGGUUGUAAACUGCUUUUGCCAGGGGAUAAAAUGUCUGUGCGCAGAUAAUUGAAGGUACCUGGUGAAUAAGCCACGGCUAACUACGUGCCAGCAGCCGCCGUAAGAC